GCAGUAAACAGUCAUUUACCUCAAUUAAUUCAGCUAGCUAGAAGUUUAGUUUGCACUAGCCAACCAGAGGCUAAAAGGCAGGUGUGUCUGAGCUUCUGUUCUUAGGAUGUUUUGUGUGACUGCAGUUUGGGUUGUAAAUAUCUCCAGAGGUAGGCAAGACAGGUGAGUAAGAGGAGCUUUCUGCUCUGCACUGUGCUUGGUACUUCAUAUCCCUAUCUCACUUAAUUUAUUGUUUCCAUUUCAUAGAUGAGAAAACUGAAGGUCAAAGAGAUGAAAUAAUUUUCCUUGAUCAUGAAACUAUUAACCAAUAAAGUUGGGAUCUGACCCUUGAUCUGCUGAGUCCAAAAUCCUACAUGUGUUCUCCACUACUCUCUGCUAUUCUACAGGGAAAAAUAGAGGACCUCUUCUGCAGGUUAUAAAUACGUUGGCAGUGUUCCUUCUGUUCUUCAGAGGGCAUUCGUUAGCCUAUAGCUGUGUGACGUGCUUCUUGACUUACUGGAAAUAAAUGGUAUUUUCUUCACAAUGGAUGUCCUAUG
rnacentral:lncRNA from 1 species